UACGUAGGGACCAAGCGUUGUUCGGAUUUACUGGGCGUAAAGGGCGCGUAGGCGGCGCGGUAAGUCACUUGUGAAAUCUCUGAGCUUAACUCAGAACGGCCAAGUGAUACUGCAGUGCUAGAGUGUGGAAGGGGCAAUCGGAAUUCUUGGUGUAGCGGUGAAAUGCGUAGAUAUCAAGAGGAACACCUGAGGUGAAGACGGGUUGCUGGGCCAACACUGACGCUGAGGCGCGAAAGCCAGGGAGCAAACGGG
rnacentral:rRNA from 1 species